GUGAUUUUAAAUCACCAUCUGCUAACGGCGAUUCAAUUGUACAGAGAAGAUUAGCGUGGCCCUUGCACUAAGGAUGACACGCUCAAUCAAAGAGAAGCUACCAAAAAAA
rnacentral:snRNA from 1 species